rnacentral:misc_RNA from 1 species
GAAACCUCUUGUUCUCCUUUUUGCUUGAUUUCUCCCACAAAAACAUGCUCAAAAGCAGAAGAGGAACCAGAUGUUCCACCCCGACCAUAAAGAUCGAACCACAGGCUAGUCAGUAAACGUUUAAAAUCUUGAUAGUUAUUGGAUGCAACUCCCUUGGAUGAAAGAUACUUGUGAAGGUACUUAAUUGGUGCAGUUCUACUAAUU